rnacentral:rRNA from 1 species
CCUGGGGGGACUAAUUUCGCGGCAAAUGGCGGGGCAAAGCCUGAUCCAAGCUAAACGCCUGCGUGAAGAUGAUGAACGCCUUCGGGGUGUAAAACUCCCUUUCGGCGCGGAACGAAAAAAG